GUGGAUAUAACUCAGUCGGUUAGAGUGCCAGAUUGUGAUUCUGGAAGUACGGGUUCAAGUCCCGUUAUUCGCC
rnacentral:tRNA from 1 species